UGGGUAGUCCGUACGAGCGCACCCUAUCCUUAGUUGCCAGCACGUAAUGGUGGGAACUCUAGGGAGACUGCCGGUGACAAACCGGAGGAAGGUGGGGACGACGUCAAGUCAUCAUGGCCCUUAUGGGCAGGGCUACACACGUGCUACAAUGGUCGGUACAAAGGGCAGCGAAGCCGCAAGGUGGAGCGAAUCUCACAAAACCGGUCGUAGUCCGGAUUGCAGUCUGCAACUCGACUGCAUGAAGCUGGAAUCGCUAGUAAUCGCGGAUCAGAAUGCCGCGGUGAAUACGUUCCCGGGCCUUGUACACACCGCCCGUCACACCAUGGGAGUGGGCUGUACCAGAAGUAGGUAGUCUAACCUUCGGGAGGACGCUUACCACGGUGUGGUUCAUGACUGGGGUGAAGUCGUAACAAGGUAGCCCUAGGGGAACCUGGGGCUGGAUCACCUCCUU
rnacentral:rRNA from 1 species